UACAGAGGCCCCGAGCAUUAUCCGGAUUUACUGGGCGUAAAGGGUGCGUAGGUGGUCAUGUUAGUCUCCUGUUAAAACUCCGGGCUCAACCCGGAGAUCGCGGGGGAAACGGCAUGACUGGAGGACGUGAGGGGUGAUCGGAACUCUCGGUGUAGGGGUGAAAUCCGUUGAUAUCGAGGGGAACACCAAAAGCGAAGGCAGAUCACUGGCGCGUUCCUGACACUGAAGCACGAAAGCGUGGGUAGCGAACGGG
rnacentral:misc_RNA from 1 species